AAUGUUGCGUCAUGUAUGACCUCACCGCACCGCCUCCAUUGUGCCCGCCCGGCUGCGGCCACCCGAGCCACGCCCCUUGGAGCCACGCCCCCGAUCCCCUCGGCCCCCCUCCCCCCGACCGUCUCGCGGCUGGGGAGGCGGUUAUAUGCGGGGGGGAGCGGGGGGCGAACUCUGCCUGGUCUGCGGGGCCGCCGCACCCGCCUGGCGCCUGGCCUCGUUGUUACCUGCCGCUGCCUCCCGGCCCCCGCUCCCGGGCAAUACCCUCACGGGCCUGGGGGGACGAUCCACGUCAGGGGAGAAGCAUUACCAAUGGUGAAAUACUAGUUUACCACAAAAGCUGUUACCACCUCCCCACCUCUAUGGACAUCAGACAAGCCGUUGUGGACAAAAGACUUUGGUCACUUUGCCUGCACCCCUGAAGAGGGUCGGUGCCCAAUCCCUCAUCCCAUCACAGUUGGAAUGCUGGGGGAAAGGAAUAAAAAUGCCUGUUAAGGAGAAAUUGGUAUCUUUAUGCUGCCUGGACUCUGAGAGGCAAAGAUUUUUAAACAAAAAAGAAGGAUAUCCCCCAGCUGCUUGGCUUGGGUUAGCCCUAAAGAAUAUAAAAGCUUGUUUCUUAUAUGAGCUUCUGUUACCUUUUCAACUGAAGACUGUACCUCAUUUGUGUGUGUUUAUUUAUUGGCUUUAACUUUGUAAAUAUCUCUUUUUCCUUGUUAAUAAACUUUGUUAGUGUGUUA